CUAUACUUCAGUCUCCUCCCUGGUAAAACGGAGCCAGUAACAGCACCUGCCUCACAGGGUUACUGUGAGAACUGACGGAGACACAGCUUGAGAAGAACUGAGCGUGCUUUCCAGGCGACAGCGGACGCUGAGGACGGCUAGCUCUUGUGUAGAUGAAGGCACCCAGCAGCUGCUCAACCUGCAACGGCUCAGUUCUGAGAACCAUGGACACAGAAACAUACCAUGAAGGUCAACAAUGCCAUCCUACAAACAUGCCGCAGACACACGCCUGCUGUCCUCACUGGCCUGCUGUCCUCACUGGCCACAGCUGUGGCUGGCUAUGGGGCUGCUCCUGAAUGCUGUGCCUGGCGUGCAAGUGCAGUGGGGAGGAGUGUUUGUUGGAAGAUGCUGAAUGGGCAAGAGGCAGAGCUCCCAGAAUCAGAAGGAACGAAACUCACGUGGAGAAGCCCUGCGGCAGUGCCCGAAGGCCUUACUCCACCUCACUGUGCAGCGAGAGAAAAGGGCUGCCUUCAGUGGGGUUUUAGAAAAACAGGCUGCUCUCAGGGCUCCUGGGCCUCGGAUGCACGACAAACAUCAAUUACAGUUGAACUUCUAGUUCGUGGUGGGACAGUCGUGUUUCCAUGAUGUGGGUGGGACUGACUAGGGUCAGGUGUGAAUGUAGGAUGCACCAUCCUGAGGGCCAUAAAAGUUGCUUCCACCACAAACGGUUUCUACGCAUAGCCUUUCUUCUUGAUAGUUAUUGCUGGUAAGAGGGAAAGUGACUUGGUCUCUACACUAGCCACCUACACAGACAGGCAGGCAGACAGAGACAGGAACAUGGAGCAUGCAGAGAGGAUCACCUGCUGGCCGCCAUGUGCCCGACAGGGAGGUGGAGUAGGGGGAGGAGACAGGGUGAUCACUUUUUUGGGGCAGGUCCGAGAACACUCCUUUUCCCGUUGCUUUUACACCAACAGACACAAACAGAGAGAACAUCAUUCAAACAGUGGCCAUGUGGAAGCUGGUUCUGGG
rnacentral:lncRNA from 1 species